GGAUGAAAUAGGACAUCGAAGGCUACUUACAAGUGAGGGAAGGGAGGUGGAUAGAGAAGGAGUUAACUCCAGGGAUGCCAUCCUCCCCCAAUCUAAUCUUUAUGAUCAUCAAUCCUGAAAAAGUAUCUGGAGUUGGUUAUACAUCAGAGAUCAGAAAAGGGAAUGGUCUCCCUCAGAAGAAAGAGAUAUAGUGACCUUUGAAAGAGAGCAGGCCUUCCUUGAGAAGACAAUGUUGACCCAUGAGAGAUCCAUAGACAGUGUAGUCACCUCUGCAAAAGGAACUUUUGUGCACACAACCACCGUGUCUGUAAACAAUUUCUGAAUCAUAACAAGAAGUAUGAAUUGCCCAUCAUGUUUAAUUAUAUUGAUGCAUAAAAGUGAGAA